GGAAGCCUACGGGAGGCAGCAGUGGGGAAUUUUGGACAAUGGGCGCAAGCCUGAUCCAGCUAUUCCGCGUGUGGGAUGACGGCCCUCGGGUUGUAAACCACUUUAGUAGAGAACGAAAAGGAGCUAUCGAAUAAAUAGCUCUGCUGACGGUACUCUAAGAAUAAGCACCGGCUAACUACGUGCCAGCAGCCGCGGCAAUACGUAGGUUGCGAGCGUUAAUCGGAAUUACUGGGCGUAAAGGGUGUGCAGGCGGCUGAGUAAGACAGAUGUGAAAUCCCCUGGCUUAACCUGGGUACCG
rnacentral:rRNA from 1 species